rnacentral:rRNA from 1 species
AUUGAACGCUGGCGGCAUGCCUUACACAUGCAAGUCGAACGGUAACGGGCCUUCGGGUGCCGUCGAGUGGCGGACGGGGGAGUAAUACAUCGGAACGUGCCCGAUCGUGGGGGAUAACGAGGCGAAAGCUUUGCUAAUACCGCAUACGAUCUACGGAUGAAAGCAGGGGACCGCAAGGCCUUGCGCGGGCGGAGCGGCCGAUGGCAGAUUAGGUAGUUGGUGGGAUAAAAGCUUACCAAGCCGACGAUCUGUAGCUGGUCUGAGAGGAUGAUCAGCCACACUGGAACUGAGACACGGCCCAGACUCCUACGGGAGGCAGCAGUGGGGAAUUUUGGACAAUGGGCGCAAGCCUGAUCCAGCCAUGCCGCGUGCAGGAUGAAGGCCUUCGGGUUGUAAACUGCUUUUGUACGGAACGAAAAGCCUUCUUUUAAUACAGGAGGGUCAUGACGGUACCGUAAGAAUAAGCACCGGCUAACUACGUG